AGUGAACGCUGGCGGUAGGCCUAACACAUGCAAGUCGAACGGCAGCACAGUAAGAGCUUGCUCUUACGGGUGGCGAGUGGCGGACGGGUGAGGAAUACAUCGGAAUCUACUUUUUCGUGGGGGAUAACGUAGGGAAACUUACGCUAAUACCGCAUACGACCUACGGGUGAAAGCAGGGGAUCUUCGGACCUUGCGCGAUUGAAUGAGCCGAUGUCGGAUUAGCUAGUUGGCGGGGUAAAGGCCCACCAAGGCGACGAUCCGUAGCUGGUCUGAGAGGAUGAUCGGCCACACUGGAACUGAGACACGGUCCAGACUCCUACGGGAGGCAGCAGUGGGGAAUAUUGGACAAUGGGCGCAAGCCUGAUCCAGCCAUACCGCGUGGGUGAAGAAGGCCUUCGGGUUGUAAAGCCCUUUUGUUGGGAAAGAAAAGCAGCAGGUUAAUACCCCGCUGUUCUGACGGUACCCAAAAAAUAAGCACCGGCUAACUUCGUG
rnacentral:rRNA from 1 species